rnacentral:rRNA from 1 species
GACGAACGCUGGCGGCGUGCUUAACACAUGCAAGUCGAACGAAGUGGCGAACGGGUGAGUAACGCGUAAUCAACCUGCCCUUCAGAGGGGGACAACAGUGGGAAACGACUGCUAAUACCGCAUACUGAAGGAGGGGAUUGCGUCUGAUUAGCUAGUUGGGGGGGUAACGGCCCCCCAAGGCGAAGAUAAGUAGCCUGUCUGGUAGGGUGGACGGCCCAAUUGGGACUGGGACACGGCCCAGACUCCUACGGGAGGGAGCAGUGGGGAAUCUUCCGCAAUGGACGAAAGUCUGGCGGAGCAACGCCGCGUGGGUGGUGACGGCCUUCGGGUUGUAAAGCUCUGUUAAUCGGGACGCGGUACCGGAAUAGAAAGCCACGGCUAACUACGUGCCAGCCGCCGCGGUAAUAC